rnacentral:rRNA from 1 species
UACGAAGGGGGCGAGCGUUGUUCGGAAUUACUGGGCGUAAAGGGCGCGUAGGCGGCCCUCUUUGUCGCGUGUGAAAGCCCCGGGCUCAACCUGGGAACGGCGCGCGAAACUGCCGGGCUUGAGUAUGGGAGAGGUGAGUGGAAUUUCCGGUGUAGCGGUGAAAUGCGUAGAUAUCGGAAGGAACACCUGUGGCGAAAGCGGCUCACUGGACCAUUACUGACGCUGAGGCACGAAAGCUAGGGGAGCAAACAGG